GUUUAAUAAUUGCUUUAUUGCUACUUAGUGUAAAGUGAGACUCUCAGACCUGAUAGUAUUUUCGGGAAAUUUCAUUUAGAGAAUCCUCAUCUUCAUUGCUUUUCUAGGGAAGUUCCAAAGGGUUUCGUUAACACUGCUUAAAGACGCCCGUAGCCUUAUGAUUCAGACUCCAAGAUGAAAAGACGAAAACUGAACAAAAUUCCAUUAACAAGAGAGAGUAAAUGACGCCAAUAUGCUGGCUCGCUGGUUUUCUUCGAAUUCGUAAAUAUCUAGAUCAUAUAUUCUGGGACAUUUGGAAGGAAACGGAAGCAAAUUGAAAUCAGUGCAAUUAUUAAUUCCGGGUCUUAAUUUCAUAACAACUUGUGAUAUAUCUCGAACAUGGAUGGAUGAAAAAACACUGAUUCAAUUGUAGCAGGGUUGAAAGAGAUGUUUGCCAAAACACAUGCACGAGACCAACCCACGCAAUGCAUUUCUUUGUCGGCCAUGUUCCAUGGAAACUACUUGUUAUUGAAGUUUGCAAACAUUUUAUGCAGUUGGAGACCAUCAUAUUCAACUUUCACGAAUGGAUUACUUACAGUUUUUAAAUUUUAGAGAUCAUCUACCGGACGCGAAAUUUUUUAAGCUUUCGUAACAGAAUUUUUGAUGACCAAGCAACGUUUGUCGAAAGAUGCUAAAACAUCAGCAGUCAACUUAAAAGUGGAAAAGCUGCAACUCGUCGAUAAACGAUGCAGUGAGUACGGAAAACAAGUUCAAAAUGCUAAAAACUCUUACUUAAAAAAUAAAAUCUUUAUUUCUUUGAUCGAAGAAAAAAAACAUCAGGAUUGAUCUUUUUAUACUUUAGAAAUAUUUGUCAGAAAACCCUUUCGAGGCAUAGAGCAUUUGACUCAAUACAAACGUCAGUUACGAUUUCUUUUAUUUGCCUCCCGACCAGAAAUUUUAUUUGAUCAAAUUUUAUUUUGGUUCGUGGAUCAAACACAGAUAAGAAACGCAAAGUCGUACAUCAGUUUGCGACAAAAUCCUACAGAAAUAAGGUUUUUAAGAGUAAAAACCACAUCUGUUGAAUGACUUUAUACUCCGGCCGUAGGUGUCUGCGCUGUGCUUGCGCUCAAUGCCGAAGGUUGCGCCAACACUCAACAACGUGGUGCCCUAUAAUUCCAGAAUCUGCUGCUUUGAAAAAUUUUAUAUUAAGUGUUCACGUUCUCUAAGAUCCAUUUAAAUCAACAGUUGAGCCAGUUCUGAUAGUUGAAAACAAGCACAAAUAACUAAAAUUGAAUAUAAAAGCUUCAAUUUUAUCUCCGAUUUUUGUACGUAUUCACACACACACUAUCGUACAAUUGGAAACUCACCUGUUGGUCUCUAAAAGUUUUUCAGUCGCGAAGACCGUUUAAUCCUCUGUGCGGCCGCGUUCUAAAUAAUAAAAUAAGGAAAAAAAUAAUCGAAUUGUUCCAAUUGUAAGUAUUGAAAACAAUAUCUAAAUUUGAUGUCGACCUUUUCAGCUUAUUUCAUGAACUAUACUCACCCAAAACUUCAUCAACGGUCGGUUGCGAUCAACUGUUCUUUUGCGUUCUUUAAAGACACGAUUCCCAGAUUUUCAUAGUUUUUAUAGAAGCCGAUUAAUCCUGACCAUUUGGUAUUAGAUACUUCGAUAUUCAAUCGAAGAGAGUUAUUCUCCUCGCCGAUAGCGUGGCAGCGUUAUAUGCGUCUGGCCCUCAUUCAUCAACUUAUGAUUGACAUUUUAGAGGUACUCUACUGUGAGUCGUUUAUUAGGGGUGGGGUAGGGGUCAAAGGUAAAGACGUAAUGAUCCGGGUGGAUGAAGACUUGUAACUAUACUAGUAAAAAGACUGUUGAAGAAUAUCUUAACUGAGCUUCUGCAGAAUUCCGUGGUUUCUAUUUACUUUUGUAACAAACACAAGAGAGAAGAACACCUUGGUAUACAAUUCACCAAAGGGGAAUGGUUUCAUCCUUUACAUAUGAAAGAUGUUGCAAAUAAUUUUACAACACGUAGUUAAGUGGAGGUGAAGUAUGAUUUAAAUCAUGGGUAUUGGGGCUCAAAGGGAUUAGCCAUUUGUAGCCAUAAAAUAGCAAAAAAAUUUAGCGGUUAGGCAUAAAAGUUGACAAGUUUGAGCCAUAAGUCGUAGAAAAAGUUGAGCGUAAAAUUGUUUUGCUAACUUUAUCAGAAACAAAAUGAAUGGAUAGCUCUGGCCAAAAUUUUAACCAUCAGCUGUAAAACCCAUCAGCCCAUUGAGACCCUCUUGGUAGAAAAUCCCUCUUUUUAUCAUAGCUUUCGUAUUGUUUAGCUAGAUAUAAAGUUCAUCAUCUGUCUUAAAUCAGUUUGUUUGACAUGGGUACCUACUACUUCUGAUUCAACUCAACAGUUAAUGAUUAGUAGCAUACUGGAGUGGGAGUCCAGACAUCCAGGUUUAGGCAUUGGGUGUUCCUUGGCAGGAUACUUAAUUGUCAAAGUGGGUCUCUCUGCUCAGAAGUAAAGAUGGGUAUUGGAAAACUUUCUAGGAAACCUGAUGAAAUACUAGAUUGUCAUCUAUAAUGGAACAGCGUUUAAUCUAUCCACCCUGGGGGAGAAGCAAUGCUCUUAAUCUCAUGGAAACAGGGGAAUACUGGGGCAGUGUGGGCCACUUUUAUUGAGUUCUGACUUAACCUACCUACUACAAUAAUUGCAUUGUUACAGUAACUGUUACUGUACCUGAAAAUAAAAUGGCAAAUGGGAGAGAGGCUUUUUGAUUAUUUUAUUCAACAGGAAGUAUUGAUGCCUGAACUAUAUGACUUGAUCAAUACAUAUAAACCUGAGUAUCUGUAUGUGAAUGGACCACAUGGACCUGACACAUACUGGGGUAGCUGCAACUUUUUUGCAUGUCUUUAUGAUGAAAGGUACAAAUCAAAAGUAAAAUUUUAUUCCUGCAUGUGGCGAUUUUUAAUUGCAAUUAUUUUGGACGUUUGCAAACUGACAUAUAAGCAUUGGUGAAGUGACAUUAGAUGUAGGUGAAUCAACCUCGUGCAUUAGGGAAUAGAUGUUGGUGAACUGACACAUUGGCAAAACAAACGGUUAACAUAUAGAUCUUAGCUGAGCAGUAAGGGCAGGUGAAGUUAGUGAAAUUUGACUUUGACACCAGGAAGGAAAUUAACUUUGCUUGAUAGCAACAAAAUGUGUGACAGCAUUACUUUGGUAGAGAGAACUUAGUUUAACUACUUGUCUUUAUGUCCUGUGACAUGCUUUCUUUUUAUCCACAGUCCUGUAAAAGGUAUAGUUUUGACAAAUGACAGGUGGUGUGACAAUGGCUGCAAAUGUCACCAUGGAGGAACAUUUACCUGCAUUGACCAAUAAAACCCUGGAACACUUCAGAUGCAUAAAUGGGAGAAUGCAGUGACUAUUGACAGGUAUUCCUGGGGCUUCUGAUGAGACCUUUCAACUAGGGAUGUUCUGGAAAUGAAUGACCUUCUAUUCCAGUUGGUUUCUACAGUAAGAACUAACUGAUUGAUGGAAUGAGUGAUUCAGAGAACAAAUUACUAACACCAUUCUCAUUACCUGACCCACAAGCAGAUGCAAAACAUCUCUGAUGACAGUUGUGGAGGAAACAUGCUUAUGAACAUCUGUCCAACAUCAGAUGGCAACAUUGUACCAAUACUUCAGGAAUGUUUACUCCAGAUGAGAGAUUGGCUGUCUGUGAAUGGUGAAGCAAUUUACAGCACUAAACCUUGGAGGGUUUAGAAUGAUGCAAUCAACAAACAUAUCUGAUUGGCAAGGAAUUUAACAGCAGGGAGGAGUGAACAUAGGAGAAUAGCCAGGCCAGAUAUGAUAACAUGAAGUUACCUCUUUUUUAGAGGUCAUUUAGAAAAGAAGUUAGGUUGUAAUUUUGAUA